GACGAACGCUGGCGGCGUGCUUAACACAUGCAAGUCGAACGAUGAAGCCGGAGCUUGCUCUGGUGAAUUAGUGGCGAACGGGUGAGUAACACGUGAGUAACCUGCCCUUGACUCUGGGAUAACUGCCAGAAAUGGUAGCUAAUACCGGAUACGACCCUCGGAGGCAUCUCCAGGGGGUGGAAAGAAUUUCGGUCAAGGAUGGACUCGCGGCCUAUCAGCUAGGUGGUGAGGUAACGGCUCACCAAGGCGACGACGGGUAGCCGGCCUGAGAGGGUGACCGGCCACACUGGGACUGAGACACGGCCCAGACUCCUACGGGAGGCAGCAGUGGGGAAUAUUGCACAAUGGGCGCAAGCCUGAUGCAGCAACGCCGCGUGAGGGAUGACGGCCUUCGGGUUGUAAACCUCUUUUAGUAGGGAAGAAGCGAAAGUGACGGUACCUGCAGAAAAAGCACCGGCUAACUACGUGCCAGCAGCCGCGGUAA
rnacentral:rRNA from 1 species